AACGAACGCUGGCGGCAGGCUUAACACAUGCAAGUCGAACGCGUGUAGCAAUACACGAGUGGCGCACGGGUGAGUAACGCGUGGAUAUCUGCCUUUUGGUUCGGAAUAACUCCGGGAAACUGGAGCUAAUACCGGAUGGUUCCUUCGGGAUAAAGAUUUAUCGCCAAAAGAUGGGUCCGCGUACGAUUAGCUAGUUGGUGAGGUAAUGGCUCACCAAGGCGACGAUCGUUAGCUGGUCUGAGAGGACGAUCAGCCACACUGGGACUGAGACACGGCCCAGACUCCUACGGGAGGCAGCAGUGGGGAAUAUUGGACAAUGGGGGCAACCCUGAUCCAGCCAUGCCGCGUGAGUGAUGAAGGCCUUCGGGUUGUAAAGCUCUUUUGGCGGGGACGAUGAUGACGGUACCCGCAGAAUAAGCCCCGGCUAACUUC
rnacentral:rRNA from 1 species